GGAACUGGCUACUCUGUCGCUCUACCAUGGUAGGGAGGAAAGUCCGGACAACGCAGAGCGCCAUACCACCUAACGGGUGGGACUUCCUGGUAGGGGGAGGUACAGAACGUGUCACAGAAAAUUACCGCCUAAGCAGACCUUCUGCCGGUAAGGGUGAAAACGUGCGGUAAGAGCGCACGGCUUCAGUCAGCAAUGGGUGAAGCGGAUAAACCUUGUGGGUUGCAAUGUCACGUACAUCCUGAUGGAUCUAUCCUGCAGGUUGCUCGCCUGCAUUGGCUUUGGCCAGAUCGGGAGGGGUAGACAGCUUAGAUAAAUGACAGGGACGGAGUAAUCCGACAGAAUCCGGCUUAUCGGCCAGUUUUCCUA
rnacentral:RNase_P_RNA from 1 species